rnacentral:lncRNA from 1 species
CUGCAUCAUGGGAAGCGAUAUAGCUUGUGAAAAUCAUUCUUGGUAGUUUUUCCUCCCCUCUUGGUGGAUCCUGGGAGGGGAAGGGAGAAGACAAGGUCUCCGAAGACAAGGUCUCCAAAGACAAGGCCGGAUUUCCAGCAGGAAGGGCAGCAUGUCCUUAGAUAAGACACUUACUGGAAGGGGAAGGAUGGGAAAUGUUGAUUCGUCAGCAACUGUUGUGAAACAAAUAUUUAGAAAAUGGCUACAUUUGCGUGUUGUUUAUAAAUAAUCGUGUUUUUAAAUUCCAAUGUCAACAGUGAUUGUGCUGGGAAGCACUGGACAAUCCGGCAACUUUGUCCACACACCGGCACCUUUUUUUAGUUGUCUGCAGAAAUAAAGAGGGUGUGAGAACCCCUGGAGCCAAACUGAUGAGGAACCAAGGAGUUAUUUAGAGCAACGGGCUGGAACAUUUAGACUUGAGCGUGGACCAUGCCAUACACAGUGUCUAGGAGGGACAGUGUGACCAGCGGAAAACAACGUCAAUCCCAGUGAGGUGUGUCAUCGGGACCUGUCUUACUGCAUCCUCCCUUGCUUUUCCCCUUAAAAGCCACACCGAUGAUGCUGGAGGAGAGUUUGCCUUUGCUCCUCGUGGCAGAUCCUGAAAGCGUGAUUUCAUGUUCACGAUUUUCACAUCCAAAGCGAGAAGACUUCAGAAGGCAAGUGGGGCCUGCCAGCAAUGCUGACCUGUUGCCCGGCUGCCCCAGGUGCUGCAGAGGUCGCUGA